rnacentral:lncRNA from 1 species
GCCAAUAUAUUACCAAUCUGAGUAAUGUACCAUUUAACAGCACUAACGUUCUUAACUUCAUAUAUAUAUAUAUAUGUAUAUGUAUGUAUGGUUGAAGCUGAUUAAUGGGAAUUCAGCUUGCAUCCCAAUAUAAUGUACACAAAAUUGCCUUACUUCAUAAUAUUGUUAUUACAUAGAUUAACAUUGUUGACACCAUUUUUUUGGAUGAAAAUGGGGUCGACUUGGGUUUUGAAAAAUGAAAACGAAAGUGGGAGUCGCCACCAAUCUUUUUUUGAUGAGGUGUGAUUGGGUCACCUUUAAAAGCGGUUGUCUUUAAUAGAUAAUUUAAUUUUAUUAAAACAACGAGUUUGGUCUACAAAAAUUCAGAAAACGGGUUCGGGAGUCGGUUACGUACGAGGAAGGAUUAGUACCCUCGAAACGCCCAAAAUUGGUACCUAGUUGAUUAGUUAAUGUCUUAAUGUCGAAAAUUGAAAACUUUGAAGAAUUUUAAAAAAAUACGAUCCUUGUAUUAAAAUGUUGAAAAUUUUGGAAAAAGUGGUAUAUUUCAUGAGAGAAAGAGGAUCAUAUCCAGUAAGUUAGGAUACAAUGUCUCGAAUUCCCGAUACACAAACGAAUGCCAAAAUUUACUUAUUUAAAAGAUAUUUUAGCUAUCUCGGAUUUAAAAAAGGAUAUCACGACCAGUAAGUUAGAACGCGAUUUUUAAAUCUCGAGAUUACUAAGAACUUGAGUUUGAAAAGAGUCGUGCAUUUAGAUGUGUUGUGAAGAUCGAAACCCAGUAAGUUAGGGCACAAUCUUUUCGAAUCUAAACACGAUGCUAUUUAUUCAAAACAAACUUCGGUAUAUCGAAUAAAAUAAAACACAAAAUCGUAGUAAAGAAUGUGAGAACAUAGAUAAAUAUAUACAUAUAUAUAUAAAAUCGGUAAGUAUUAUAAAAAUAAAAAUGUAAAUAUGUGUUUAUAUAUAUUUACAAAUUGUGACAAUAUAAAGUAUAUGUAUGUGAAUCAUAAAAUAUGUAAAAUAUACAAAAAGCAUUUUUAAGAAUAUAAAGAAUAUAUAUAAGUAUGUAUAUGAUGUAAAAUAUGCAUAAAUAUAUGUAAGUAUAUAAGAAUUAUGAAAUGUGAAAAAUAUAUUUAAGUAUGUAUAAGUAUGUAUAUAUAUACAUAAUAAUUUAGAGUAUAAAGAUACAUAUAAAAAUUUAAAAUGAAUAUUACGUAUGAUGAUUCAGAAGAAAUAACAUAUAUGCAAAAUUUUUAAAAUUGAUAAUGAUUUAGAAUAUAUGAUAUAUUCAAAAUAAUGCCAAUAAUAAUAGUAAUAAUAAUGUAGAUAAGAAACAAGAAAAUAAAAUAAUAUAAUAUGACAAAUUUAAUAUAAAAUUGAUUGAUUUGAUGACAUAGUGGUGAUACUAAUGAUAACACAAUAAUAAUGACAUAGAAAACAAUGAUAUCAAUAAAAUAAUAAGGACAAAAAAUAGCUCCAAUAUUAACAAUAACGACAAUAAUAGAAUAACAACAAUAACAAAUAAAGAAUAAUAAUGAUUAUAACUAUUAUGUAAAACAGUGAUAUAAAUAGUAACAACAAUAAUGAUAAGAUAUAAGAAAUAAUAGAAUAAUGGCAAUAAUAAUAAUAAGUAGCAAUAAUAGAAUUAAUAAUAAAAAUAAAGUUGAUUAAUUAAAAAAAACUAUAUUGAAUUUUGGAACACAAAUUUGGGGCGAAUUCAAAAUAAAAAAAGAAGGGAGGACACAUUGAAAUGCGCCAAGAAAGUAGAGGGAUCCCAUGCGCAAAUAGACCAUUCGGUCAAAAUGCGCGGAUCCUCCGUGGGCGUAGGGCGGGUCGCGUGUGGGAGGUCCAAAACUGUGUCGUUUUGGCACCUGGACCCCCCACUCCCAAACGGCGCCGUUUGCCUCUAGUCUUUAAGUUAGUUUCUUUUCUUCAUUUCAGUUUCUCUAAAAAAAACUGAGGGCCUUUUGCCCUCUCCCCCUCUCUCUUUGCUUCAGCCGAUCGGGCUAUCUCGCAGUCCACCGUAUCGCCACUAUUUUUAGUGCCCGGUGACGCGCGACCCUGGGUAUUUAAACCCCGCUUGGGAGCCCUUCGAAGGCCAGGCACCUCGACGUCCUUUGGGAACCAAGAGAGAAACCCGUGGCCCUCUCCUUCGAACCCAAUCGCCACGAUGGAGAAGGUUCUCCGGCGACGCGUCCGUGGUUUCAGGUGAGGUUUCCUUAUUUCUUUUCUUUUACUUUUGUCUAUUUUCGUAUAUAAAAAAGAAAAAUAAAAAAAACAAAAUAAGUGAACUCAGAUCUUAGAACGAAAGUGAAAAUCAACCUUUUUUGAUUUCUUGCUACCCUUUGUUUAUGUUUGUUUCCAUCUCCCCUAUCUGUGUUACAAAAUCCUUUUUUUAUAUCAAAAAAGAAGAACCCCCCUCCUCCCCUUACAAAAUAGUUUCGGUGGCUUAAUAUAGCCUUCCACAAUUUUCUCCUAUUUUUUGUUUUCUGUCUUUUCUUCUUUGUUUUUGCAGGUGCAAGUGGCAUGGGAGCGGCAGAGCAGGUGGAGCAAGUGAGCGGUGAUGGGACGGUGGCAGAAAGCAGGUGAACGGCGGAGUUGGUGGCGGUGGCAGAGGGUAGGUGAUGGGGUAUUGUAAUUGGGUCUGCUGGUAUGGGUUCUUUUGUUAGUGGGCCGGGCAGAAAUUGGGUAAGUUAAUUGGUUUUGUGUUUUGUUUUUUUGCUUGGGCUAGAGGUUAAUUGGGCCCGGGCAUGAAAAUUGGGCUUGUACAGCUGCCCCUCUUUGCUCGUUGUCGUGUAACGAGAACAGAGCAAAGAUUAAGAAAGACCAAUUUUUGCCCGGUCUCGCCGAGUCUUGACUCCUCUUGACGCUUUUCUUCAAGUAGUUUCAUUCCAAUCCAAUGUGUCAUGUUGCUUCAAUCCACUCCACUGCAACUUCAGAGAGAUAUGACUUGUAACUUCAAUCCAUUCUGUUGUAACUUCAGGGGGUAAGGUCCAUCAUUCUGACCCGCUUCACUGCAACUUCAGGGAGAUCGGACUCAUAUCUUCAACUUGCCCCACUACAACUUCAGGGGGAUAAGAUUCGUUGUUUUCAAUCUAUUCCACUACAUCUUCAGGGAAAUAAGACUUGAUGCGACCUACUCUGCUGUAACCUCAGAGAGAUAAGAUCCUUUAGCUUCAAUCUGAUGUGAUCUACUCUACUAUAACUUUAGAGAGAUAAGAUCCUUUAUUUUAAUCCGCUCCACUGUAACUUCAGGGAGAUAGGAUAGUGUCUUCGAUCUGCUCCGCUGUAAUCUCAGGGAGAUAAGAUCUCUGGCUUCAAUCUGCUCCACUGUAACCUCAGGGAGAUAAGAUCUGAAAUUCUCCGGUCUACUCCACUGUAAUCUCAGGGAGAUAAGACUCUGAAUAAUAAACCUUAUUAUGCCUAAUGAUUAGGAUGACAUGAUCAAAAUGAAACAAAUGCUCCUAACUAGACAUAUGUGAAUGGUGUUUGCAUGAAUGCAGAAUUUCAUUUUUCCGAGAAUGAUCUCGCUUAGGUUAUCAUUACUCGAAGUUUAUCAAGGUUUUGUGACUGACGUGCUACAACGCCUUCUCGCUUGACUGAUUUUUCUGAAGAAACAUUUAGCCAGACUGUCCCCAUUGUAAACCUCAAAGUUAUAUCCAAUGGGACGCCAAAAUUUGUACCAUCAUUCUCUCACAGUAAUCUAAGGGUAGAAAUAUGUGGCUUUUCCUCUAUCCUCUUUUAUCACGAUUCGGGGAUAUAGUAUCUGAACCGUUCUGGUUUCCUACACCAUUCUCAAGGUGUCGUACCAAAGUCUUAUGCGCAAGUGAAGGCUCUCUUCUCCGAGGUAACCUCUUCAUAUUGCCUGAUGAUCAUUGCUUGCUUGUUCAUUUAAGCUUUGUAAUUAACACGACAGCUUGUCAUUUUGUUCAAUCAAUGUUUAGACGACAAAAUCUGAAAGGAUAGUCUUUAACUUAGACUCUUCCUUCCUAGCUAUUUCACCUUUUAAACUUGGUAUUUUCUAAACAAUAGUCAUGUUUCAGGUCCCUAUAUUAUUUAGAAAUUUUCCAGAGUAAUGUGCAAAACUUCUUUCCUGAAAGUUUUAUUAGUUCGUUAAUCAUUAUUCCUAUGCAACAUGUUUGCAAAAAGAUCAUAACAAUGGAUAAGAAUAAAGCUAGUUCUGAUCAUAACUCAAAUAAAACAUCAAAGAUGGCGAAAGAAAGGUAACAAAGAAGUGGAUUGAGAAUGUGCGUUUUCACAAAAGGAAAGGAAGAAAGAAAGAAAAUAAAAUGUAUUUUCAAGAAUACACAUAAGAACUAGGUGCCCCAGUUAUCGCCGCUUGAGUUUCUCUGUACAAACUUUCCGAAGACCCUUCUAAGUUUGACAUGUGUUCAGGAGAUCUGCAAUACUCUGUCAAUGUUCCAAGACGUUGCAUAUCCUUUCUUAUUGGUUCAAGUAAAGGAAGAUCAUCAUAUGCCCCUGAUCAAAAUUUGAUCCGCUCAAGUCCUGAUGUUCCAAUCCUGCCCAAUACUUGAGUCGCCCUUUUCCGGGCUUUCGACUCAAGCCCUCUUUGGUCUCAAAGUGCCCUUUACGGGUUUUCACCUUAGCCUCUCCAAAGUUUUUUUUUUUUUAGGAAGCAAAGCGCCCUUCACGGGUUUUCACUUUGGUUCCGCUUUCUUUCAAGUGAAGUAUUUCUUGACAGAGUCUGCAUUUACAGGAUUUGGUAAACUUUUGCCAUCCAUCUCGCAUAGGAUCAAAGCUCCACCAGAAAAGGCCUUCUUUACAACAUAAGGGCCUUCCCAAUUUGGCAUCCAUUUUCCUCUAUAAUCUUUUUGCAUAGGAAGAAUCUUUUUUAGUACCAAGUCCCCUUCUCGAAAUUCUCGGGGGCGAACCUUUUUAUUAUAGACUCGCAUCAUUCGUUUCUGGUACAUUUGCCCAUGGUGAAUAGCUCUUAGCCUCUUUUCUUCUAUUAGGUUCAACUGAUCGUACCGAGAUUGGAUCCAAUCGGCUUCAUCCAACUGUAGCUCAGAUAACACCCGUAGAGAAGGGAUUUCAACUUCAAUGGGUAAUACUGCCUCCAUUCCAUAAACCAGAGAGAAAGGUGUUGCCCCAGUAGAAGUUCUAACAGAUGUUCGAUAGGCGAGGAGAGCAAAUGAUAAUUUCUCAUGCCAAUCCUUGUAGGUUUCAGUCAUUUUCCCCACAAUCCUUUUAAUGUUUUUAUUGGCCGCCUCCACUGCACCAUUCAUUUUGGGACGAUACGGCGAUGAGUUAUGAUGCUUAAUUUUAAAUUUGCUACAAACUUCAGCUAUUGUGCUAUUAUUCAAGUUCAUCGCAUUGUCGGAUAUGAUCCUCUCAGGCAUUCCAUAUCGACAAAUGAUCUCCUUCUUCAAGAAUUUGCUGACUACUGCUUUCGUGACAUUUGCAUAUGAAGCAGCCUCCACCCACUUGGUAAAGUAAUCAAUUACUACGAAGAUGAAGCGAUGCCCAUUAGAAGCCUUUGGUGAUAUUGGCCCAAUAACAUCCAUACCCCACAUGGAAAACGGCCAAGGAGAGGUCAUGACGUGAAGAGGUGAAGGAGGCGCGUGUAUUUUGUCUCCGUAAAUUUGGCAUUUGUGGCACUUCCUGGCAUGAUCAAUACAAUCUCCUUCCAUGGUGGGCCAAUAGUACCCAAAUCUCAUGAUCUGUCUGGCCAUCGUGAAACCACUGGCGUGCGUCCUACAAAUACCCUCAUGGACUUCUUCCAAAAUUUUCUUGGCUUCUACAGCAUCCACACAUCUUAACAGUACUUGAUCCUUCCUUCUUUUAUAUAACACUUCUCCAUCUAAGACAUAUUCAAUGGCUAUCUUUCUCAGAGUUCUUUUGUCAUUCUCUGUCGCUUGAUCAGGGUAUUCCCGAUUCUUCACAUAUUGUAAGAUACUCCGAUACCAAGGACAAUCAUCCUUUCCCUCCUCCUCAAUAUUGCAGUAAUUAGCCGGGGUCUCAGAGAUACUCAUCUGAACAGGCCUUAUUGCCUCAAGUCUAUUCACCUGAAUCAUCGAAGCUAGAGUAGCUAAUGCAUCAGCCAUUUGGUUUUCCUCCCGUGGGAGGUAAUAGAAGGUGAUAUCGUCAAACUCCUCAGCCAAUUCAAGAACUACUUUUCUAUAACCGAUUAGCUUAGGAUCUCUAGUCUCCCACUCCCCUUUGAGUUGGUAUAUCACCAACGCUGAAUCUCCGUAUACUCUCAGUACUUUGAUGUUCCGUUUCAUGGCUGCACGAAUGCCCAUAAUACAUGCUUCAUAUUCUGCCAUGUUAUUUGUACAAUCGAAGUCCAACUUACUAGCAACAGGAUAAUGAUCUCCACUUGGGGAUACCAAAACUGCCCCAACUCCAUUACCCAUAGCAUUUGAAGCUCCAUCAAAAUUUAACUUCCAUACGUGAUCCAUUUGAGAAUUUUCUUCAGUAUUCGCCACAUACAUCAAGUCCUCGUUUGGAAAAUCGAAAUUCAAAGAUUCAUAGUCCUCCAAGGCUCUACUAGCUAGGAAAUCGGCUAUUGCACUUCCCUUUAUGGCCUUCUGACUGACAUAUACUAUAUCAAAUUCUGAGAGCAAGAUCUGCCAUCUAGCCAUUCUCCCGUUCAAAGCAGUCGAUUCCAUCAUAUAUUUUAAAGGAUCUAACUUUGAAAUCAGCCAAGUCGUGUGAUACAACAUAUACUGCCUCAGUCUUCGGGUUGCCCAGAUUAGAGCACAACACAACUUCUCAAUUGAUGAGUACCUCAUUUCGCAAUCGGUAAAUUUCUUACUGAGAUAGUAUAUUGCCCUUUCUUUCUUUCCCGUCUCAUCAUGUUGGCCCAAUACGCAUCCCAUGGAAUUCUCCAACACUGUUAGAUACAAUAUCAAUGGCCUAUCUGGACUUGGAGGUGAUAAGACUGGAGUAUUAGCCAAGUACUGCUUUAUCUUAUCGAAAGCCCUCUGACACUCUUCAUCCCAUUCGCCCGGAUUAUGUUUCUUUAAGAGCCGGAAUACUAGAUCACAUUUCUCUGUCAGUUGUGAGAUGAACCGAGCAAUGUAAUUCAGCCUCCCUAGGAAACCUCGAACCUCCUUCUGAGUGCGCGGGGGAGGUAAAUCUCGUAUUGCCUUUACUUUGUCUGGGUCAACCUCGAUCCCCUUUUUGCUAACUAUGAAGCCUAAUAACUUUCCUGAUCUGGCUCCGAACGUGCAUUUGGCCGGGUUAAGCUUGAGCUGAAAUUUCUUUAAUCUCAAAAAUAACCUUUUCAAGACCUGAACAUGCUCUUCUUCCGUUCUAGACUUCGCGAUCAUAUCGUCAACAUAGACUUCGAUCUCCUUGUGCAUCAUGUCGUGAAACAAAGUCACCAUAGCUCUUUGAUACGUUGCUCCCGCAUUCUUCAAUCCGAAGGGCAUUACCUUGUAACAAAAUGUUCCCCAUAAGGUAAUGAAUGUGGUUUUCCUCAUGUCUCCGGGAUGCAUCUUUAUUUGAUUGUAUCCAGAGAAACCGUCCAUGAAAGAAAACAAUGAAUAGCCCGCCGUGUUAUCUACCAAAGUAUCAAUGUGAGGCAGUGGAAAGUUGUCCUUUGGACUAGCCUUGUUUAAAUCCCUAUAAUCCACACACAUUCGUACCUUUCCAUCUUUUUUGGGAACAGGGACGAUGUUGGCUACCCAAUCCGAAUACUUGACCUCUUGUAAAAAACCAGCGUCGAAUUGUCUUUUGACUUCUUCUCUUAUUUUCAACACAAUGUCAGGUCUCAUUCUCCUAAGCUUCUGUUGAACGGGUUUACAAUCCUCUUUUAUGGGCAGACGAUGCACCACAAUGUUAGUACUUAGCCCAGGCAUAUCUUGGUACGACCACGCGAAAACAUCCUUGAACUCUCGGAGUAAAUUAAUGAGGUCUUGCCUUGUCUUUGCGGUAAUUUCAGUUCCAAUUUUCACCUCCUUUCCAUCCUCUAGGCUCACUAUUUCUAACGAUUCCCUAUGAGGUAGGAUAUGCUUAUCCUCUUGUUCCAUCAUUCUUAACAAGUCCGGAGAUGCAUCAUAAUCUUCGUCAUUUUCAAAGUCGUGGGAUCCCUCUGAACACACUUCUUGCUCAAAAAUAGGCUCCGAAUUUGAGGCAGCGUCACUCAUGUCAUUGAUAUCUGAAGACCUAUGUGGGCAGAUCAAAGAAUAUACCAAGAAUAUAAAUUUAUGAAUAUGUUUGUGCAAAAGAAUUACAAAUGAAAGAAUUAUUUGUAAGACAAUCAACCAAAUGAAAAAUAUGAAAGGAAAAACAAUGACUGAUCGAGAUGAACGUAGACACGUAUUUUAUUAAAAUAAUGAUAUUUAGGCCCAAUGCCUAUUUCACAAAAGAUUUCAUAUCAUUUCUAGGCCAACAAACAACAGGAAUGUUUUGAGCAUUACUCUGAAUAAGCCCUAAAGACUACAGGGAUUUCUUCAGCAGUCCAAUUGUUUAGCUCGCUUCCAGGCUCAUAAGGGCAGAUCUCCAACAAAGCUCUCCUUUCCGUUGCUUCUAUGGCGUUAGUAUAAACGUUUUCCAACAUUCCUCCCAUACCGCUACCGGACACUCCACAUUCAGAAUGAAUAAAUCCUCCCGACACAAAAGAUGUAGAUAUGUGGGGAAAGGUUAAAGGCUCACACUUAGCUUCAUGUCCAUUCAAACGCGCCCUUCUUCUCUCUUGUCUCUUCUCUACUUCUUUCUUCUUCUGCUUCAUGUCUGGCUUGUACCCUAAACCAAAUCUAUCAAACUUUUCCUUCGGCAUUGGUGCCUCAAUCCUUCCCUGAAGAUAUUUUUCCAAUCCUUUCCCGGGUAAGGCUCCUCUUCCUACCAUCAAUCGCAAUCCCAUCUCAGUGGUCCUGGAUAUUUUUGGUACUGGAAUUCUAUUUCCCUCCGCAAUAAACAUCGCGUUCACAAAUUCUAACGACCGAAAAGAACAUUCUAGUGCCUCAUCGUUGAUGUCCACAUAAGGUGCAUCGCUAGUCAUCAUUGCGAUAAUAUCCUCCUCUGCAUCUAUUGUUACCAACCGAUCCUCUGAUACCAACUUCACCUUCUGAUGUAAUGAUGAAGGUACUGCCCCUGCUGAGUGUAUCCACGGUCUCCCCAAUAGACAGUUGUAGGAGGGUUUAAUAUCCAUUACCAAGAAAUCCACCUCAUAAGUGACUGGGCCAAUCCUUAAUGGUACCUCAAUUCUCCCCAUAACCUCCUUUUUUAUUCCAUCAAAUGCCCUUACUAUGCUCUGGCAUGCUUUCAUGUGCGAACUGUCUAUUGGUAAUCGACUAAGAGUGGACAAAGGUAAUACAUUUAGUGCAGAUCCAUUAUCAACCAAGGCCCCCGGGAGUGUGUACCCUUUGCAUCGGACAGUAACAUGCAGGGCUUUAGUAGAACCUCUUCCUCCGGAUGGUAUUUCAUCAUCACUGAAGAAGAUAAAAUUGUCAGCACCAAUAUUGUUGAUCAGCCGAUCCAGCUUGUUUACCGAAAUAUCGUCAGCCACAUAUGUUUCGUUUAGCACCUUUAAUAGUGCAUUCCGAUGUACUUCUGAGUUUAAGAGUAAAGCUAAUACAGAAAUGCGGGCUGGCUAUUUGUGCAGUUGCUCCACAACACUGUAUUCACUGUGUUUCAAAAACUUCAAAAACUCCUUUGCCUCCUCUUCUUUUAUUGGUUCAUUUACCAAUGGUUCAACUUCUACUGCUUUCCCUUUCCUCUGUUCUUUCUUCCAAUUCUCCUCCCUGGACGACUCUGCUUGAGCGUCAUAUCUUUUUCCAUUGCGCGUGUAAGAACCUAUUUCCUGAUUUUUUUCUGCUUCUUUUCCCAAAAUGGUCACAUUACACCCGUAAUUUCACGGCACCAUUUUGUUAUCCCUAUAAGAGAAAUUUGAUGGUUUCUGGAUUACAAUUUUCGGUGUUACCUGAGCCCUGACCUCAUUACCCUUAGGGCGUGAGAUAAUGACCACAGGAUGAUUUGGAGCCUUUGUUCCCAACUCUGUCACGCAUAUGCUCCUCAUUUCUUUUGCAUCUUCGUAAAACCCCAUUUCCUUGUUAUCCAUCAUGCUUUGAACCAAAGCCCUAAAUCCCUCACAUUCUUGGAUUUCGUGCCCUGUUUUAUGGUGAAAUUCACAAUAAUUUCCCAUCUCAUGCCCUUCCUCAGAAUCUGAAAUAACCAAACCUCUUUUCGCCAUUUCUUUCCAGACCCGUUUCAAUGGAGUUUUUACUUCAGCAAUGUCAGUCUUGACUUCUUCUCCCGUACCUUCGCUAACCAUAUUCACCCCCUUAUCUGCGUGAUUAGGUAACGGAUUCUUUGCGUUAGGUGAGUCGUCAAGUUUGACAACACCUAAAUUGAUAAGUCCUUCUACUACCUUCUUGAAGGCAGUACAAUUUUCUAUCGAGUGCCCAGAAAUUCCCGCAUGAUAAUCACAUUGCGCGUUCAUAUCAUACCAUUUUGGAUACGGGGGUUGUAGAGGACUCAAGUAACGAGGAGCAACAACAUGUGCAUCGAAUAAAGUCUGAUACAACUCCUUGUAUAACAUCGGGAUUGGCGUGAAUUGGGGCUUUUCAGUAGUUUGCCUAGCUCCCGACUCUUGUCUUGAUGAUCCCUGUUGAUUAGCAACCACUUUCUUUGGUUGAUUCACGGUAAUUGACCUACCAUAGGCAUUCACAUUAUUCACUUCAUUUUCUCUUUUCCUCAAGGGUGCCCUCCUAUUAUUUUCUCCUCCCUCUAUUUUUCCACUUUUAAUGGCAUGCUCAAUCAUUUCACCAUUCAUGAUUAUAUCUGAGAAAUUUUUUGAAGCGCUUCCCAACAUGUGAGUGAUGAACGGGGCUUUCAAAGUAUUAAUAAAAAGCGUCGUCAUCUCUUUUUCCAAAAGCGGUGGUUGCACCUGAACUGCCACCUCUCGCCACCUCUGCGCAUAUUGUCUGAAGCUUUCGUUCGAUUUCUUCUCUAAAUUUUGCAGAGUUAUCCUGUCAGGCAUCAUUUCUGAGACAUGAUUGUACUGUCUCAGGAAAGCCUGUGCUAAAUCCCUCCAAGUAGUAAUUUUAGCUCGGCUCAGCUGAUUGUACCACUUUGACGCCGCUCCCGUAAGACUUUCCUGAAAGCAAUGUAUUAAUAAUUGAUCAUUAUUAAUAUGCCCCGUCAUUCUUCUACAAAACAUAGUAAUAUGGGAUCCUGGGCAACUAGUCCCGUUGUAUUUCUCAAAUUUCGGCAUCUUAAAUUUGUAAGGGAGCACCAAGUCCGGAACCAAGCUCAGAUCCUUUGCAUCUAUUCCAUAGCUUUCGAUACUUUCUAUUGCCCUAAACUUCUCUUCUAUCCAUUUCCAUUUCUCCUCAAAUUGUUUUGGAAAUUCCUCCUUCGCCUUGUCCUUUUCAACCAUCUCGUCAAGAUCUGGGACAGCAAUAUUAUUCGGGCUAUCGCCGGGAUUAAAGCCCGCUCCGGAUUGAAAAUUCAUUGGGAUUGAAGCAUCGUCUUGGGACUGUUGGGGCCUAAUCGACACAGAGGGCCUCCGCGGAUGCAGCUCAGUCUGUACUUGCACAUGCGGAGGCGUGAAACCUGGAGGAUAAAGUGGUUCACCAUUGUUUUCUUCUUCACUAACAAUCACAGGCCCUUUACCCUUAUCUACUCCCUUCAAUAAUUGCGUCAUCUUAGCCACCAGAUCAUUUUGGGACUCCUCCAUCUUUUGUACCAUGUCACGCUGAAUCUUUUCUAUUUGCUCUUUCAUUUGCGCCUGCAACUGGUCUUGCAUUUCUCUUUGAAGUCGCUCUAGCUUCUCCAACCUUUGGUCCAUAAUUUUUGUCUUAGCUCGGGUGCCGUAACUGAAAUGAUUUUAUUCGAUUAGGUUUUUAAUGGUCAUUAAUGCAUAUGAUGUGAUGCAAUGCAUGAAAAGAAUGCAAAGGAAAAGAGGCACUGAUUCUAAUUCAACUUCAUUAGAAAACUUUACUAGAUAAAGAGUUUCUUUACAUAAAAUAGACUACAUAUAUGGCUUUGCCCUCACACUCAAAGCCUUAACCUUUCUAAGAAGCCAAGCUAAUUCCCGGCCCCUGUCUGACUCUGACUCAUACUUCAAACUUAAUAGAUCAGCCUGAACCGCUAGAGUUUGCAGAUGAUCAGCUACUUCGCGCACUUGAGUCACCGCCUCUCCCAUAAUAUAAUCUCUUUCUCCAAUCUGCUCUUGAGACCGACGGAAUUGUCUUUGCCACUGCUCAUUACUUUCUUCCAGAAGCUCUAUCCGGAUUUCACUAUUUUGCAAUGCAUUCUCUAGCCCUCCUAUCUGUCUUUUUAAUUCUUCAAUUUUGUCUAAGCUCGCCCUUAAUUCAACCGUAGCAUUACGAUUACAGUACUGGUGAAGCGAUCUUUCUAGUUCAGUUAUCCGGACCUUCAACUCCGUCUUCUCGUCUUGGCAAACUAGUAGACUCUUUCCCAAGACGACUUCUCGAGCCCGAGUAUCCUGAAAUUUCUUUUCCCAUUGAUUAGCUUUCGUCUUUUCCUCCUGAAUUUCUUGUCGCCAUUGUUCUGGUGUUUUACCCAAGCCAGCGGCUCUUACCGACUUACGCAACUUCUUGUAAUCUGUCUUCAGGCUGUCCAAAUCUUCUUCUGCUUUGUUCUUUCCUUUUCUCAAUUUGUUAGCCUCUAAUCUUUGAAUGUCCACAUCCAGUCCUAACUGUAUUUUUUCUUCCUCUAGUUGUUCUAUCUUCUUCCCCAAUUCUAAACUCCUUUUUUCGAAUUCUUGUUUGAUGAUUUCUAUCUCAGAAGGCAAAACUUGUAAGUGUUCCUCUAAAGAUCGAGCAGUUUCUGAAUUUGACGCCGGGAUGUUGUCGUUGAUCCUUUGAUCACGCCACUGACCAUACUUGGGGGUAAUUGUCGGACCCACGGCUAAGAUCUUCAUUCGACGAGUCUGGUUCCAGGCACUAGAUAUUUCUCGAACCUUCUUCUUGUAAUUGUCCUCCCUAUAGGAAAAAUCACUAUAAGCCAACCCCUGGGUUGCUGGUAUGAAUUGUCGUGAUCUAUACUGUCUUGAUACGAGUAGAGGAGCAUAUCCGAUAGCUCCCUAUAUCCCGAGCAGCGGAACCCAGUCAAAAUCUCCACAUCGGUACAAUAUCUCAUCAGGAAUUAACCAAGGAGCCCUCCAUUCAAUAUCUUCAUCUUGGAGAUUCUGGAGUAUCUCUAUCCAUUUUUCUUCUGAAAUAUCAUCCCGUUUUGACGUGACCACCAAUUCUCCUAGAGGGGAGUAGCUAUCAGAGAACACCCGAUAAGAGACCUUUUCGACUUUCCAGCAGUGGCUAUGGAACCAUGCCAAUAAGAGCUGCGCGCAUCCAAUAAACCUUCCCUCCCCUACUUUUCGACACGCAUUCAAGGAUCUAAAAGUUUCAGGGAGUAUUGCCGGAACCGGUGUAACCCCUUUACUAAGCCGAUCGAACAAAUCAGAUACAGCCUCGUCUAUGUGUCCUAAAGCUUUGGGGAAAACCACUAGUCCAUAGAUACCUAAAGCGAAGACAUGGACCCUUUUCUUUAAGUCAGGAUGUACAAGCACCAAAUCUCGCAAACUUUUCCAAGGAACACAUUUACUGUCGCCCUUCUGUUGGAUCCAGGCAGCGACCCACUGCUCGCUCAUCCCAGUGAUGUUCAUUAAUUUCUUUAACAACGGAGGGACACAAGUAGCUCUGGAAUAAGCCUUGUCGACUUGAAUCUUUGGGCACCGAAGCAAGGUCGUAUACUCCUCCACAGUAGGCGUCAAAUCUACCUUUCCAAAAGUGAAACAACUGUAGGCAGGAUUCCAAAACUGAGCAAGGGCUCGGAAUAAAUACUUUUCCACUUUGACACUAAGCAGGUAAGGUAGGUCACCGUAGUUACAAUAGAACAGCUGCUUGGCCUCGACAUCCCAUUGAUCCCAGACUUCUUUCAUUUCUCGAAGGUCAUUUUGGAUUACACUGAUACGGGUAAAAUCCCACAAUUCUGACACGUACCCUUUGGUAAGACUAUCGCCUUUCUCCCGUUGUGUCGUUUCAGCCCAUAUUCGCACAGCCGCAUUAUCCUCUACUUUAUCAACAAACCCCUUUUCCAUGAUAAGCUUUCUACCAAGAAACUGAACGUAAAUCGACACCUCUUUUAGAAUGAAGAUGCCAUGCAAUCACAAACAAAGUAAAUUAGCAUUAAACACAGAAUAAGAUUUAAAAUAAGCGACAAAUAAAUACAACAUUCAUUUAGGUAAGCACUAAAAAUUUAGAGUAGCUCUACCUAGGUCGGUUCCUAUGGCUCAUUACAUGUGGUUUGGUUCUAAAGUAGGGUACCUGAACCAGCAAAUUCCUCGAUCCUCACCCAUUAUAGGCUCAUACGGACCAAGUUCGAUUCAGGGGGAUACAUUUCCCUAUGGCCAUGCGGAGAUGAAAAUCUCACGAAGACAUAGGUACGGAUAUAUCCCGAAAGCGAUUCACUAUCCCAUGCGGAGGUGAAAACCUCACGAAGGCGUAGCUUCUCACUCCCACUUAAAAAGGUGUGACCAACGGUCAUGCAAUGCAAUGCGGAAAGAUACCAAAAUUUAAACAAACAGAGCAAUUAUAAACCCCAAUGAUGAUGAUUAUGGUAAAGACAGAUAAAAUGCGAUGAAAGGAUCGUAAUUUUAAACCGAAUUUUCAAUUUUUGACAAAAGAUAAAAAGUAAUCACCACGUGGCUUGACCCUCUUAUCGGAGUCCCCAGCGGAGUCGCCAAGCUGUUGACACCAUUUUUUUGGAUGAAAACGGGGUCGACUUGGGUUUUGAAAAAUGAAAACGAAAGUGGGAGUCGCCACCAAUCUUUUUUUGAUGAGGUGUGAUUGGGUCACCUUUAAAAGCGGUUGUCUUUAAUAGAUAAUUUAAUUUUAUUAAAACAACGAGUUUGGUCUACAAAAAUUCAGAAAACGGGUUCGGGAGUCGGUUACGUACGAGGAAGGAUUAGUACCCUCGAAACGCCCAAAAUUGGUACCUAGUUGAUUAGUUAAUGUCUUAAUGUCGAAAAUUGAAAACUUUGAAGAAUUUUAAAAAAAUACGAUCCUUGUAUUAAAAUGUUGAAAAUUUUGGAAAAAGUGGUAUAUUUCAUGAGAGAAAGAGGAUCAUAUCCAGUAAGUUAGGAUACAAUGUCUCGAAUUCCCGAUACACAAACGAAUGCCAAAAUUUACUUAUUUAAAAGAUAUUUUAGCUAUCUCGGAUUUAAAAAAGGAUAUCACGACCAGUAAGUUAGAACGCGAUUUUUAAAUCUCGAGAUUACUAAGAACUUGAGUUUGAAAAGAGUCGUGCAUUUAGAUGUGUUGUGAAGAUCGAAACCCAGUAAGUUAGGGCACAAUCUUUUCGAAUCUAAACACGAUGCUAUUUAUUCAAAACAAACUUCGGUAUAUCGAAUAAAAUAAAACACAAAAUCGUAGUAAAGAAUGUGAGAACAUAGAUAAAUAUAUACAUAUAUAUAUAAAAUCGGUAAGUAUUAUAAAAAUAAAAAUGUAAAUAUGUGUUUAUAUAUAUUUACAAAUUGUGACAAUAUAAAGUAUAUGUAUGUGAAUCAUAAAAUAUGUAAAAUAUACAAAAAGCAUUUUUAAGAAUAUAAAGAAUAUAUAUAAGUAUGUAUAUGAUGUAAAAUAUGCAUAAAUAUAUGUAAGUAUAUAAGAAUUAUGAAAUGUGAAAAAUAUAUUUAAGUAUGUAUAAGUACGUAUAUAUAUACAUAAUAAUUUAGAGUAUAAAGAUACAUAUAAAAAUUUAAAAUGAAUAUUACGUAUGAUGAUUCAGAAGAAAUAACAUAUAUGCAAAAUUUUUAAAAUUGAUAAUGAUUUAGAAUAUAUGAUAUAUUCAAAAUAAUGCCAAUAAUAAUAGUAAUAAUAAUGUAGAUAAGAAACAAGAAAAUAAAAUAAUAUAAUAUGACAAAUUUAAUAUAAAAUUGAUUGAUUUGAUGACAUAGUGGUGAUACUAAUGAUAACACAAUAAUAAUGACAUAGAAAACAAUGAUAUCAAUAAAAUAAUAAGGACAAAAAAUAGCUCCAAUAUUAACAAUAACGACAAUAAUAGAAUAACAACAAUAACAAAUAAAGAAUAAUAAUGAUUAUAACUAUUAUGUAAAACAGUGAUAUAAAUAGUAACAACAAUAAUGAUAAGAUAUAAGAAAUAAUAGAAUAAUGGCAAUAAUAAUAAUAAGUAGCAAUAAUAGAAUUAAUAAUAAAAAUAAAGUUGAUUAAUUAAAAAAAACUAUAUUGAAUUUUGGAACACAAAUUUGGGGCGAAUUCAAAAUAAAAAAAGAAGGGAGGACACAUUGAAAUGCGCCAAGAAAGUAGAGGGAUCCCAUGCGCAAAUAGACCAUUCGGUCAAAAUGCGCGGAUCCUCCGUGGGCGUAGGGCGGGUCGCGUGUGGGAGGUCCAAAACUGUGUCGUUUUGGCACCUGGACCCCCCACUCCCAAACGGCGCCGUUUGCCUCUAGUCUUUAAGUUAGUUUCUUUUCUUCAUUUCAGUUUCUCUAAAAAAAACUGAGGGCCUUUUGCCCUCUCCCCCUCUCUCUUUGCUUCAGCCGAUCGGGCUAUCUCGCAGUCCACCGUAUCGCCACUAUUUUUAGUGCCCGGUGACGCGCGACCCUGGGUAUUUAAACCCCGCUUGGGAGCCCUUCGAAGGCCAGGCACCUCGACGUCCUUUGGGAACCAAGAGAGAAACCCGUGGCCCUCUCCUUCGAACCCAAUCGCCACGAUGGAGAAGGUUCUCCGGCGACGCGUCCGUGGUUUCAGGUGAGGUUUCCUUAUUUCUUUUCUUUUACUUUUGUCUAUUUUCGUAUAUAAAAAAGAAAAAUAAAAAAAACAAAAUAAGUGAACUCAGAUCUUAGAACGAAAGUGAAAAUCAACCUUUUUUGAUUUCUUGCUACCCUUUGUUUAUGUUUGUUUCCAUCUCCCCUAUCUGUGUUACAAAAUCCUUUUUUUAUAUCAAAAAAGAAGAACCCCCCUCCUCCCCUUACAAAAUAGUUUCGGUGGCUUAAUAUAGCCUUCCACAAUUUUCUCCUAUUUUUUGUUUUCUGUCUUUUCUUCUUUGUUUUUGCAGGUGCAAGUGGCAUGGGAGCGGCAGAGCAGGUGGAGCAAGUGAGCGGUGAUGGGACGGUGGCAGAAAGCAGGUGAACGGCGGAGUUGGUGGCGGUGGCAGAGGGUAGGUGAUGGGGUAUUGUAAUUGGGUCUGCUGGUAUGGGUUCUUUUGUUAGUGGGCCGGGCAGAAAUUGGGUAAGUUAAUUGGUUUUGUGUUUUGUUUUUUUGCUUGGGCUAGAGGUUAAUUGGGCCCGGGCAUGAAAAUUGGGCUUGUACAAACAUAGCAAUGGAACUCAUAAUAUGACACCCAGAUUUUAUAGAUUAAUACAUCAUAAAGCUAUUCAACUAAUAGUACUUACAGAAGAGUUAUCACUAGGAGCAUGUAGUCUGUAAUGCGAAUCAUAUAAGC